rnacentral:rRNA from 1 species
GACGAACCGUACGAACGUUAUUCGGAAUCACUGGGCUUAAAGGGUGCGUAGGCUGCGCAGAAAGUUGGGUGUGAAAUCCCUCGGCUUAACCGAGGAACUGCGCCCAAAACUACUGUGCUCGAGGGAGACAGAGGUGAGCGGAACUUAGGGUGGAGCGGUGAAAUGCGUUGAUAUCCUAAGGAACACCGGUGGCGAAGGCGGCUCUCUGGACCGUAACUGACGCUGAGGCGCGAAAGCGUGGGGAGCAAACAGG